UACUUAAACAUGCCCUUGCCUCCGCUGC
rnacentral:sRNA from 1 species